AGUGAACGCUGGCGGCGUGCCUAACACAUGCAAGUCGAACGAUGAUGGAGGAGCUUGCUCUUCCUGAUUAGUGGCGCACGGGUGAGUAUACCAUAGAUAAUGUACCCCUUAGUUCGGGAUAGCCACUGGAAACGGUGAUUAAUACCGGAUACUGCUUCUCGUUAUAAGACGAGUCGGGAAAGUUUUUUCGCUAAGGGAUCAGUCUAUGUCCUAUAAGCUAGUUGGUGAGGUAAUGGCUCACCAAGGCUAUGACGGGUAUCUGGUUUGAGAGGGUGAUCAGACACACUGGAACUGAGACACGGUCCAGACUCCUACGGGAGGCAGCAGUGAGGAAUAUUGCACAAUGGAGGAAACUCUGAUGCAGCAACGCCGCGUGGAGGAUGACGCAUUUCGGUGUGUAAACUCCUUUUAAGAGGGAAGAUUAUGACGGUACCUCUUGAAUAAGCACCGGCUAACUCCGUGCCAGCCGCCGCCGUAACAC
rnacentral:rRNA from 1 species